rnacentral:lncRNA from 1 species
AGAGAAAGACCCUCUCUAUACACUCUCAUUAGUGCAAAAUUGCAUAAAAGCCCCUCAACAAAGCUUCCCUCGCAACAGCCCAAACUGGGCCAUUUUCGCGCUCGGGGACCGGUCCUUGCGGUGAGAGACCGGUCCCUGAGAGACCGGUCCUUGCGGUGAGAGACCGGUCCCCGAAGGUCCAGUACUCAGCCUCAAGGACUUAGCCAAAUUUCAGCCUUUUUCACCGUUUCUUCUCCGUUUUCGCCCGUUUUCGCUCGUUUGACCUCCGAUUCGUUUCAAAUCGAACCGAGACUCUUCAAACAUGUUUUCGAGCAUGUUUUCAUCAUCUUUUCAUCCACGCUAAUGCCGGAUUUAGCUCACGGCCCAACGUGGCCUUUCGGCUCCGUUUUCGCGCCUAUGCGCACCGAAAUGCCCGAUUGCUUCCGGACCUCACCGGGACCUCACCGAAAGCAUUCAAAUGGUCUUCCAACCAAAUGUACACCGUAACUUCAUGAUUUUAGAAGUCCGAUACCUUACAUCCUCCCCUCCUUAAUAAGAGUUUCGUCCUCGAAACUAACUCACCUCAAACCCAAUUCACACCCUAAUUCUCUUUAUUGAGUGACAAGGGGGUACAGUGCACUUUUGCAUCUCAGAGUGGCCUUGCGCUCAUAUGAACUAUCCGAAGGCCCACUACGGAGGACGUGAGACUAAAUUCGCUCACAUUUGCUUUGUGUAAGUCCAAAAGUGCAUUAUGGGUCUCCGUCAUUCUGGGUGGUAGCGCAAGUCGAAACUCAACGACUCUACGCCCUCCACACCAUUCACUAACUGGCCCACUAAGGCCAAACCACUUCCUUCGAGACCGGGACUACCCGCUAUCCUUAUGGUGUGGAGCUAUCAAGAACGCACCAAUAGUCAUAUGGUCCACCACCACGACACAGCACACACGGGUAAGCCCUCUCGAACCACCUGAGUGUCAACAAAGCGGCGCUCCGCCACUUUGGCUAUCCAAGAGUUCGUAUUUCUCAUUUACGACUCUUCGUCACUUUCACCAUCCCUCUAGGGGUCACACUCCAAUUCGAUCACCAAUAUCGCUUAGAAGCAACAUCAUUGGUGCAUCGACCCACUGCGAGUGCUCCAAUCGCAUUUGGAUCCUUGCUCUAUUCAGAGAUGGCCUACUUCGGCGCAUCUCGAAUCUUAAUCCAUAAAAGAGCAUUAUCUCCAAAUUCUCCAAAUUUUUUCCAACAUAACCCAGCCUGCCUGGGCAAAUUUCAUGCUCGGGGACCGGUCUCUCCUUGCCUGGGACCGGUCCCAGAGGGACCUCCUCAAUCUCACGCGUUCGGGAACCGGUCCCUCUGGCCUAGGGACCGGUUGCCUCGCGCUUGCCACAGCCCUCAGCCUCGGGGCAACCGGUCCCUCCCUCCUGGGACCGGUCCCCGAGAGCAAGCUCGCGUAGACAACAUUCGGGAACCGGUCCCUCCCACCAGGGACCGGUCCCCGAGAGCAAUUCUGCUAGGUGCAGAAUCUUGCACCAUUUGCUCUCGCGGACUCCAUUGCAAUGCACUUUUGGUGCAUUUGACUUCUUCGGCGUUCACGAAGCACCCUCACUCGACAAUUAGUCAAUUUUGAGUGAAGUCCAACUCUAGCAUUUUGAGAAUCUACUUCCCUUGCACCAACUCCUCCACGGAGUUAUCGGCUAAACCGAUUACGUCGGCUUCCACAGGUAGACCAGCGGUCACCAACACCACGUAGGCCUACUGUCUAAACCCGUCGCACUACGCAUAGCGUCUCUCGCUCGCAUCGUAGACCCAAUCAUCAUUGGGCGAAAUUCUCAUUGGAGAAUUCGCACACACUCCAACUAGGAGCAACCAAGAUCCCCAAACCACAUCAAGUCCUCGGGUUGGGUCACAACCGCACACUUAGUGCAUCAUCGAUUUCACAAUCCAACACGUGGCAUUCCACACUCCAAGGUCUAAGCUCGGACUACCGUCCUGACCAAAACUCUCCGCCCUACCUAUAGGUAUUGGGCCGCUGCCUCUCGCAGCUGACUGCGCCUGCCAAAUGGGCCCAGGCUCCACAGUCCACGAAGGGUCCAGGCACGGAUCGUCCCCAAGCACUACCCGCUAACGUCGUCCUACACGACACACUCUACAGAGCUACGCACUCUACCGGCUCCUAGGCACCUAGUGCGAGCCACUAGCCCUACGAGUGAUCUAUGGCCCGCUUCACACUUAGCCCUGCUAAAGUGCUACUGCCAAUUCACUCAACCGGCUGAAUCAAAACCGCACUUCACGCAUAACUACACCCGAGCGCUCUACGUCUCUACAGCGUCUCGCACGAAGUCUAGCAUCAGGCAACUUAGCCUAUGCACGCCGGCCACACGAGCAAUAACUCGUCCACCUCAGUUCGAGGUACUACUAGGCCCACAGGCCAAGUUCGGCGCUAAUCGACCAAUUUUGCAACAGUGGUUCAUCACCAUUGUUCGAUCUAUCGAGUCCACGUCCGAAAUACUCUUGGGAUAUCCAGGUGUCCCCAAACAUCAAGGCUCAACUCUUGCAAUAUCUAAUCUAUUGCAUCGAGAGUUCUCUUAUAUUUUCGAUUUCCAUUACGAGUCUCGUUUCUUAUCCAAAAUCACCACUAGCCGUUUGCUAGUGCCCAAUGGCUCUCUACCUGCCCCAGCAGGCGCCAUACUCUCAUCCUGCUAGCAUACUCGGGUACCUACUUACCCGACCACUCGGUGCCUACUAUGUAAUGUAGUAAUAGUAGUAACUGACCAUAUGAUGAAUGCAUGCUAUGCAACAACUUGAGAUCAUGCAAAGUAUAUGCUUGCUCAAGUAACUCAUACCUGCUACGACGACGUCGACAACAGCAGGCACCGCAACUCGGGUCGCUUAUCCAUGGCCACUUGGCGCUCAUCGCGAACCCUCUAAUUGCAACGUCCUCAACGGCUGCUCUCCCGACCAUGCCGCAGGUGGCGCACCUGCAGGCUGUCCCAGGGAGGGAUAGGCCGUCAUUAGCGUCAAGGCCCGGCUAUCGCCUUUGCGGACACUUGUCCCGCACAUGGCCCGGCAGCCCACACCUGAAGCACUUGCCCUCACGCUGUUCACACUGCCGUGGCAAUGAGGGACCCCACAACUAACGCAUCUCACUGAGGACCGAAUGUGGUAAGUCCCUGGAGCUCGGGAUCGCGAGCGCGAACUUAUCGAAGUUUGUUGGGAACUUGACUAACAAUCAUGUCCACUUACUGGCUGUCCUUUCCCCUUUUUUCCUUGUAGUAUGCCUCGCGCUCCUCCCGCAGGGAUUCCUCACUUUGUUCUAUCCACAAGGCCCGAUCCCGGACGUCGGCGGAAGUCUGCAACUUAUGUGCAAGCACAAUCUUGCAAAGGUCUGGCCGAAGUCCACGCACAAGGCAGUCGACCAUGUCCUUGUCAUCCCGUGCUACGCUCGGGACGCAACGCACGACACGGGAGAAGUCCCGCUCGUAUCGCCUCAUGGUGCUGUUUACCUGCCACAGCAUCGGAAACCCUUCUGAAGCUUCCUCGCUUACCGUCAGGGAAGUGAACGGAGAAUGCCAAUUCCCGAACUUAUCCCAGACCAUAGGAGGGAUACCAGGCAAUCGAUUCCGUCGAAUGCCUUUCCACCACACCUUUGCCGACUGUUUACAAGCAGCGUACGGCUAGGUGUGCCCUUCCUCACUCUACAACGCAUAGAUCCCCAAAGGGAGUCUCGCUCUCGGUUCGUCACCAACAGCUUGUCGGCACCGACCAAUCACCAAUUUCCUUAGGUAGGCGACAUACCACCAUGACUUAUGCGUGCUGGGUGACUGCUCUGACCUGCGUCCUGGUCUCUGCGGUAACAUCACCAACAGCAGCAGGUUCCUCGACUUGAGCCGCGUAUCUAGGGCCGCUUGGCGCCUCCUGUGAAUCCUCCGGCUGCUCGACCACCCCCAGCCCUACAGACUGUGCCACAGGCUGCACAUCCACCAUAUGUCCCGAAGAGGUGAAUGUCGACGCUAUCAGCGGGAGUUGUCCAUCACCCAAGGGGCAAUCAUACUUCAUGUGGCCAGACUGCCCACAACGAAAACACCUUCCCUCUCGCAGUGCACACCGCCGCGCCUGGUGGGAUCCUCCACAAAUCACACACCCCGUAGAUACGGCGGUAGCAGACGGGACUCCACCAAACUGUCGCUGAAUCUCUGGGGCAUCUGGGGCAGAUGCAACUGACGGGGCAGGUGGCACUCCUUCCGCGCACUGACGGGCCAUAUGUCCCGCUCGACCACACUUGAAGCACCGCCCCGCCCGAUCCCUACAUUUCCCUGCGCGAUGUCCUCCACCGCAGAUCACGCACCGCAUAGGUCCUUGUCUAAUGGACCGCCGCUUUUGGUACUUCGGGGCCUUUUUGGAACUAGACUGUUCCCCCGAACCACCACGAGGCCGUUUCUUCACUCCACUCUUCUUGAACGCCUUGCGUUCCUGUCUCGCUUCCCCAGCUGCCGCAUCGAGUAUCAUAGGACCCGAAGCCGCAAGAGAGACACUAGCCGGCAGGGGAUGCGCCGCCGCCGGAGCUACCAAAAUGCUCACGCCCUCAGGCGCGUUGGGCGCGUGAGCCGAGGGCGCGGGCGGACCAUGGUCUUUAGUUGUCGUCACGGCCGCCGUCGCCACUUGUCGCUCCAAAAGCUCUUGGAGCCGCUCGAUCUGACUUCCUUGGCGUUGAAUCACGCCGAUAAGCGUAGUCAUCUGCGCUCGUAAUUCUCGCACUUCUUCAGAUCCAGACUGCUCGGGCACCUCGGGCGAUGGUGCCAGAGUGGGUCUAGUCACGGGGCGUCUCUUUGGCGCCAUAGCUCCUGAAACGCAACAAUUUGGUUAAUCACCUUAACCCGUUAAUCUCGUCGCAACUACUAGACAACGUGACUCGAAUCAGGCGAAAGUCAUACAAGGGUGCCUAUUCUCAUCACUAGGUUUCAUGUUGUCGCGCGCCAACAUGAACACACUUGGGUGAGAAUACACCACACCUUGAGUCUACCUCUAAUAUCCGUCUUAGAGGUUUACAAAACUUGACCCAAUCAAUUCAACUUCCGCCACAACGCAUAGGUUCACGUCACUCACGCACCUAUAACCUUAGGGUUCACCGUCCUAGGGUCUCCUAGGUCAGUCCUAGACUCUCUCUUUACUUGCUCUUACUUGCUCUGAUACCACUUUAUCUGUCACGCCCCGCGACCGCUACCAAUUUGGUUCGGCCCGGGCGCGUCGAACAGACGCCGGACGGACAGCACCUCCCCUGUCCGCCCAAGGCUAACCAACAAGAUUGUGUACAACAAGUUCCCAGGAAAAUAACUUGAAUACAUACACAAUCGAUAACUAACAACGAGAGCACAAUCAGUGCAAAACGACCAAGAGCAAGAUACAAGUAUAGAACAUACAAGUAAUGAUAAAGAGAGAGAGCAUCUAUCUAUUACAUUCAUUCAGCCUUUAUAAUACAAUUGGAUUAUACAUUGAACUUCCAAAACAUAAUAUAAAGCUUACAUCUUCCAAAAUAUAAACAUUAACUUACAUUUAUCUCAAAAUACCUCACAUCCUAUACAUCAUCUACUCUCAAAGCAUAAAAGGUGACUCUAAUGCAGAAAUAGGAAAGUAGACUAAUGCAACUAGGGCGCUAAGCCCUUACCGCGAUCCUCGCCGUGUGAACUCGCGCUCGGCCCUGUAGUAAAAUGGGGGUGAGAACUAACUUCCUUAGUUCCCAGUGGGUUCGGCCGCCGACUCCGCCGAUCUCCCCACUAGGUCCAAGUCGGGCACAAGUAGAUAAUCGAUAGAUAAAUAGAUAAGGAAAGCGGUAAUAACAAGAGUAAAGCUACUCUACUAUGCCCAAUCAUAAAUAUAUGAAUGCAUGCACAAUGAAAUAGGUAAGCAAGUAACUUGUUAUCAUGUCCAAAGGUGAAGCUAUUCACUCGUUCAUUAACCUCAUUUACUUGUUUAUUAAUCUCAUGGCUUACCCGAAGGCUCGCCUACAGCUCACUAGCCAUCUCGAAGGUAGGGAGAAUUAACUCACACUACGGACCCGAGACCGUCUGGCGGGGCCAUAUAGGCAAUCCCUGGCGUGACCAACAUCCGGAGCGCACUACUUGUGUGGGGCUUCCAUCACAAGAUUUAACAGACCGCGAGCAUGAUCCAAUCCUCUAAGCUCGAGGAUACCCUGUCCUCUAGUGUUACAAUCAUCAUAUAGUCCAUAGGUUUCAUAUACACUAUGACUCACAUAUGUCACUCGUUCUUUUGUUUACUAUCAACUAGAUGCCACUCGUUCUUUACAAGUUUCCAAUGCAAUAGCCAAUACAUUACUAAAUUCCCAUCCUCACUUAUCAUCUCAUUAUAGGGUUCCACAUCAUAUAUAUAAACCUCAAGCAUGCUAGAUAUAAGUACUAAGUCAAAUACAUCAUUCUACCAAAGGACAUGCAAGGAAUUGAACCAAACCAUCAUUUAUCACCCUAUAAUGCAAGAUGUCAAUAUGCAAUUUGAUCAAUAUAAACUUAGCGAUUGAUUCGGGAUGGACACCACCCACCUUUUAUAGCGUUCCGAUUGCUCGUCGUCACUCGCAAUCGGCCUCCUGCGGCGCACGCCGCACGGCUCGACCCAACUCAAGCGCGACUGCCAAAUGACCUCCUAUCCGCGAUCCGUCUGUUCUGGAGUUUAUUCCUCGACACCACGAUGCUACGAUUCCAUUUCCAUGAUUUUUGGAAGCUUUCGCCGCGAGCUGCGGCAAUCUGUACCUUAACGGCUUCGAUCCUCAAUAUCUCCGCGUACACUCGUCGGAUCGCCGAACCGAGCGCACCGUUGCGUUCGUAGACCUACCAAUUAGGUUUACAGAGGGUUAAAAGAGAUCAAACCCUCCUAUAAAUCAAAUCGCCAUUUUGGAGCCCUAGAUUUGUACUACGGCAAAAUCCACCAAAUUGAUCUCCCAUUCUUGCAACAAACGUCUAUUAAGCUUGCUAGAAUUCAUCUAAAUCCAAUUCUAGAGCAAAAGGGUCAAGCCCUAGAGAUCUACCAUUGAAGGGGUUAGCAAGCUUACCUCUUAAGCUAGCACAACGGAGAGGAGAAGAUGAGAAGAUGAAGCUCCACCUUGUUUGCUUCCUUCUUCACCAUCUUCUUCUUCUUCUUCCUCUUCUUCUUCUUCUCUUCUCCUCUUUCUUCUUCUCUUUCUUUUCUUUCUUCUUCACGUUAGAGAGGGAGAGAGAGAGGUGUUUUAAGUGAAGGAAAUGAGAGAAAGAGAGAAAGACCCUCUCUAUACACUCUCAUUAGUGCAAAAUUGCAUAAAAGCCCCUCAACAAAGCUUCCCUCGCAACAGCCCAAACUGGGCCAUUUUCGCGCUCGGGGACCGGUCCUUGCGGUGAGAGACCGGUCCCUGAGAGACCGGUCCUUGCGGUGAGAGACCGGUCCCCGAAGGUCCAGUACUCAGCCUCAAGGACUUAGCCAAAUUUCAGCCUUUUUCACCGUUUCUUCUCCGUUUUCGCCCGUUUUCGCUCGUUUGACCUCCG